UACGUAGGUGACAAGCGUUGUCCGGAUUUACUGGGCGUAAAGAGCGCGCAGGCGGUCGAUCAAGUCGAGUGUGAAAGCCCCCGGCUCAACUGGGGAGGGUCAUUCGAUACUGAUCGACUCGAAGGCAGGAGAGGGUAGUGGAAUUCCCGGUGUAGAAGUGAAAUUCGUAGAUAUCGGGAGGAACACCGGUGGCGAAGGCGGCCCGCUGGCCAGCGACUGACGCUGAGACGCGAAAGCCAGGGGAGCAAACGGG
rnacentral:rRNA from 1 species